GGGAAGGUGGCCGAGCGGUUAAGGCGCUGUGUUUAGGUUCCUCCAAACCUAGAUCCGCAGUUCGAAAGAGCGUGGGUUCGAAUCCCAUCCUUCUCA